rnacentral:rRNA from 1 species
CCCUCUGGGGCGCUAUUAGGGGGGGCGACGCACUUCUUUGGCUAUCCGAUCACGCCGGCGCGCGAGAUAGCCCACGCGGCGGCGCUCCAUUUCACGAGAACGGGAAGGCGUUUUCUUCAGGCCGAGGACGAAGUGAACGCGGUGAACAUGAUUUACGGCGCCGCCGCUGCCGGAGCGAGGGUCAUGACGGCUUCUUCGGGGCCGGGCAUCUCCCUCAUGGCGGAGGGGGUCUCCUAUCUCGCGGGGGCGGAGCUUCCCGCGGUCAUCAUCGACGUUCAGCGGGCGGGAGGGC